GCAUUCAGUUGCCAUCGGGGUAAUGCCGGGCACUCUGGAAGGACUGCCAUCGACAAGGAUGGAGGAAGUGGGGAUGACGUCAAGUCAUCAUGGCCCUUAUGUCCAGGGCGACACACGUGCUACAAUGGCCGGCACAGCGGGAAGCGAGUUCGCGAGGACGAGCGGAUCCCUCAAAGCCGGUCGCAGUUCGGAUUGAAGUCUGCAACCCGACUUCAUGAAGCUGGAAUCGCUAGUAAUCGUGGAUCAGCCAAGCCGCGGUGAAUACGUUCCCGGGCCUU
rnacentral:rRNA from 1 species